GGUCUCUAGAGCACAGUGCAGGAGUGUAGCAGCCAGUGCUGUAGUAAGGGGAAUGCGUUAUUGUUUAUUUUCUUAGAUUCAGGAAACAAAAAGUACAGCCAAAAAAAUUAUGGCUCAUCUGAAUUCCGGGCAUCUAGGUUCAGACUGAGAAACCCCUGCCAGGAGAGAAAGCUUACAAGAAACAAUGUGAAGUGGGAUGUCUCGGAGCUUCAGCAGAGAGUCAUUGUCCGUUUUCAGGUAAAGGUUGUGUUCUGGUAUUGUCAACGAAAUGUGGGUGAAAUACUCAUCAUUCAUAGCGCAAAUGAAACCAGCGUUUUGCCAAACUGACCAAGCAGCCCACUGGAGAGAAGAAUAUUAUUCCUUUAUGCUGGAGAAAUUGAAAUGAAGUCGCAAGGUCACGUGACAGGUGACAGCUGAAUUUAACUGCAAGUAAUUGAGAGAGAUCAACACAGAACUCAGUGAAGCAGCUGCCCACGGAGAUGUCCACUGAUGCACCACUCCUCACACUAUGCACUGUUUUUAUGGCUCAGAAAGAAACGAAAGGAAAGGCAGACAGAGCUACCAACCCAGCCCUCUCAUUUUCCUUGGAUUUGUUCCACCACAACUUUGUAGAACAGGGAACUGGCCAGGUAUCCAGGGAAAGAAGAGUCUAGUGACAAUAAUUAUGGAGGAUUCACGGCCCACAUUACCCUAG
rnacentral:lncRNA from 1 species